GAGCGCGCCUUGGGCCCCCUGAUGCGCUGGAGAUGGCGAGGCUGCGAGUUCAGACCCACACAGCGACCCUGCAGCAGGCUUGGAGGUCGCUGUCGGCAUUAAGGCACUCGCCCAGCACCUAGGACAGUUACAGCUUCCGAAUCUGGUUUCUGAACGCCCGCCAAGGCUUUGAAAGUUGUACGGGCAAUCUGCGCACAGCCUAGGACUUUAUGAGAAACAAUUAAAUUAAUAUUUUAAAGACAAUAAACAGGUUCUGGACCUUAUCUCUGCCUGAGAAUUUCAGAAGCCACAAUACCAGGGGUCGGCUUUGUUUCUUUUUUUCCGAGGCUGAUGCAGCUCCAGAUUGGGAAAUCCUGGUCCGCAAACAGCCCUUAGCCCAGCGGUCAGGCUGCUGGAGGGGCCAGGCCUCGGGCAGGGGAGAGCCUACUGGUGAAGGGAGACGCUGCCAGCCAAGAGGGAAGCUGGAACCUUCUAUGCCCCCAACAAUGUCUGUCCUCCUUCUGAUGUAACACAUUUGAAUUGGACCCAGUCUAUCGGGUUAGGGAACACCAGAACACUUUGGGGGACAGGUUAGCCUGGGCACCGAGAUGGCAAGGCGAACAGGUGCGCACAGUGGCAAGGGUGGCAACAGAGAAAGGCCAGGUCUUGCUUCGAUGGGGCAGGCUAGGGGAGCAGGAAGAACUUCCCCUUCCUAGUGUCUCAGCACAGUGAGGGUCAGGUGGGGAAGGGGUGAACGCCCAGCUCAUCUCAGUAGGUGGGUGGGUUGUGGCUUUUUGGUUGGCCAAGGUCUGUGCCUCCAAUGUCCAGCCAGCUGGUCCAUGUACAAGAUGCCCACAGCCACAGCCUGUGUCCCUUCCAACCCAGAACCAAGUGUUCUUCACAGCCUUUUCAUCUUCUUGUCCUUUUUCCUGUUUUGUGUCUUCCCAUUUGUAGCCCUCUGGCUACAUACCAACAGAGACGCCCCAAAGUAAAAGUCAAGUCGACAUUACAAGCGAGUAUUAUUGCUUGUGCGAUCCCAUCGCCGCCCCCUCCCCCCCUUAAAUUGUGUUUCAAAACAACAUGGUGACUUCUGGACAAGAUUUUUCUGUUUCACCCACACCACAAUAGAGAUGCAAUGAAUGCGGCUGGUAGAAUGUUUGACUAUGUCAAAUUCAGUCCCGAAGGCUGGCGUGGGCCAGCACUGGGGCUCCGCUUUGUGUUAUGUUUCACGGAGAAGAUAUUAAUUAAAAGAAAUACAUGAUUAAAAAGUAAUGAGUUGAA